CGACAGACAUGUAUAUGCAGUUGGCACUUGUCAAACAUGGGAGAGCUGCACCUUCAGAAAGGCAGGAACUUUGAACGUUGUUUGCACAGGACGGCCGUCUGAGAGAAGGAGGGUCGGGGAUGCUGAGCCUUUCCACUAAACGUUGGAGCUGCUGCACCGAUCUGCUCUCAUUCAGGCACACGGGAAUGAGUGAGGCCCAGCACGGAUGUGAGGGGAUAAAGUUUGGCUCAGAACACGAAACGAUCUCACUCCCAACUCGUCUGGUACCAACACGAGGUCAGCGCCCCUCGGGAAGGAAACCAAGAGCGAGACGGACCUGUGCAAGACUGUCACAUUUCCUUGGCUGAAAAUCUGGGAGUAUGUGAACAUAUUUUGAAGCCAACCGGUCCCCGUCACAUAUAAUCAGCUCCAUCUCAACUUUCCACAUGUGGCCUUGCAGUAAUGUGAGCUAAACCGAACUGUGUCACUGUGAAUGAGGCACAGUUCACAUUCAGCGCUUUAAAAAGCCCCCGUGGGGAUCGUCACUCCGAGAGACCGAGCGAGAUUGAUUUGAGAGCAGCAGCCUGCAGAGACGGAUUAAAGCUGCGCACCUUUCGCACCCAACAGGAGGCAUCUCGAGUACAACGCCCGGUCCUCACAUGAUGUUAAAGCAUCUCCAGUCGCCCUCAUUAUCCAGGCGCCCUGACACACACACAAGGAGGGAGAGAGAGAGACAUCACCACUGCAGCCACCACUCACAGCAUCCUCGCUGCCACGCCGUGUCUGCCGUGACCCGACGAGGCAGUGAGACUUCACAAAAGCUGACACGGGCUGUUCAAAGGAAUCCGUGGUUUUCAGACGAGAUUUGAUGCUCGUUUGUAACCAGACUGCGGAUGGAAUCUUGCCUGGAGACUUGAAGCACCUGACGUGUCUCAAAGAAUCCAACCGUCAGCUCAUCCUUCACCUGACACCAUGGAAAGGUCAGCGGUUCACACGUUGAUCAAUUGAUCAUCUGAUAGAGUACCUGAUCAAUUGAUGGAUUGGAGGUCCAUUUCAAAAGUGGAAUAUAUUGAUUUGGAGAAAAUUAGAUCCUCAUGUGGACCUCUAUGCGUUGAAGGUGGCCUUGUAGCAAGCUGGACAUUUACUCACAUUUAAAAAAAACCACCCAAAGUAACCAAUGACUGAGUAGUAGUAGUAGAAACAGAGCGUCUAUGUGCUGCACAUCAUGACUGAACGCAUUGGAGGCGGAAUCGCGCCAACGACAAUGUCAAAUAACAGUAUGGUUAGCUGCAAAGACGAUAAAUACACACAAAAUUCAUUAAUAGACAAAUCCAAAGUGUGGACAUCGUACGGGCCAUCGUUCUCCGUUCUGCCAGUCGUGGCAACAUGUGUGGGGGGCUGUGUGAACCAAUCAGGAGCCAGACUUUCUUUCUGCUGGAUCACACCAGCCACGACGCCGGGAUAAACCGCUCUACUUCCUGGACCCCGACUUGGUGAAACACCCAUUCAAAUCUCACCUACUGCUUAGUAAGUGCAUCUAACCCAACAGUUGAGACGACAAUUGCAUUGUGGCAUUUCCACAUCUGUACACCACAGUAAUAUAAACUGUUAAUAAUAAAUCUGUUUAUGGGCAAUAUGGAGUAGUACUGCAC
ensembl:lncRNA